UGAUAACAUUGAAGGCCUCCUUAUAUCAUCGAAGAGUGUGCCGUACAAGUUUUUGCAGUUUAUUACAAACUAGGGACUUCUGGUUGCAAUUUCCAAAGAAAAUGAAAUCCAGGUAUGGAAUCUUGAGUUCAGGCAACUAUUUAAUUCGUCACAGUGGGAUGUCAGCAUUACUGCUUUUGCAGUCAUAGAGAGGACCUUUAUGAUGUAUCUUGGAGAUGAGAAUGGCCUUCUUUCUGUAUUGAAGUAUGUGUAGAUGAUGGG